rnacentral:pre_miRNA from 1 species
AAUAAGUGCAGUUUUACACUAUUCACGUUUAACAUUUGACCGUUCGUUUUAUUUGAAAAUUUUUUAUGAUUAGUAUUUUUAUUACUAUUAGAUGAUAAAACAUGAAUAGUACUUUAUGUGUGACUAAAUAUUUUUAAAAUUUUCAAAUAAGACGGACGGUCAAACGUUGGACACGGAUAUCCACGACUGCACUUAUU